GCCGGGCAUGGUGGCGGGUGCCUGUAGUCCUAGCUAUUUGGGAGGCUGAGACUGGAGGAUCUCUUGAGUCCAGGAGUUCUGGGCUGUAGUGCACUAUGCUGAUCGGGUGUCCACACUAAGUUCGGCAUCAAUAUGGUGACCUCCCGGGAGCAAGGAACCAGCAGGUUGCCUAAGGAGGGGUGAACUGGCCCAGGUCGGAAACGGAGGUCAAAACUCCAGUGCUGAUCAGUAGUGGGAUCACAUCUGUGAAUAGCCACUGCACUCCAGCCUGGGCAACACAGCGAGACCCCAUCUCU
rnacentral:SRP_RNA from 1 species